AUGAAUUUGAUACCUGAAGAUUUACAACUUGAUAAACCAGCUUCAGGAGGAUAUUCAAAAACAAAGUUUAAUCUUUGAAGAUCUUUGAAGAUCUUUUUUAAAACCAAAAAUUUGAAGGACAUGUGAAUGAUCUGUGUGUGGAAGAACUACUGGAAAACAUUCCUUUCAGAAGUCCCUCAUGAUAGGGAAUCCCAAGGCUGGAAAACAUCAUUCAAGUGGAUAAUCAAAUUAAAUUUGUUAUUAAAAGCCACCCUGAGUGAAUCCCAGCACUGCCAUGCAUAAAAUAUAUCCUUAAUUAUAUUUCCUGUUUGAUGUCUGGCUAACCCUCCU